rnacentral:misc_RNA from 1 species
CACGUGACCCCGGUCUAACCACCGGGAUGUUCAUAACCCUUUGUUGUCCGACUCUGUUGCCUCCGGGGCGACCCUGCCUUCGGGCGGGGGCUCCGGGUGGACACUUCAAACUCUUGCGUAACUUUGCAGUCUGAGUAAACUUAAUUAAUAAAUUA